rnacentral:rRNA from 1 species
UACGGAGGGAGCUAGCGUUGUUCGGAAAUACUGGGCGUAAAGCGCACGUAGGCGGCGCAGCAAGUCAGGGGUGAAAUCCCGGGGCUCAACCCCGGAACUGCCCUUGAAACUGCAGUGCUAGAAUCUUGGAGAGGCGAGUGGAAUUCCGAGUGUAGAGGUGAAAUUCGUAGAUAUUCGGAAGAACACCAGUGGCGAAGGCGACUCGCUGGACAAGUAUUGACGCUGAGGCGCGAAAGCUAGGGGAGCAAACGGG